rnacentral:rRNA from 1 species
UACGUAGGGUGCGAGCGUUAAUCGGAAUUACUGGGCGUAAAGCGUGCGCAGGCGGUUCGCUAAGACCGAUGUGAAAUCCCCGGGCUUAACCUGGGAACUGCAUUGGUGACUGGCGAGCUAGAGUGUGGCAGAGGGGGGUAGAAUUCCACGUGUAGCAGUGAAAUGCGUAGAGAUGUGGAGGAACACCGAUGGCGAAGGCAGCCCCCUGGGUCAAGACUGACGCUCAUGCACGAAAGCGUGGGGAGCAAACAGG